rnacentral:lncRNA from 1 species
GUAAACCUCAUCUUUAAUAAUUAAUGGAGUUUUGAGUCUCUCUCUUUAUUCUCUCACUAAAAUCUCUUAAUCUCUUUAAUCUUUUCAUCUGAUUAUCCCUGAUUGAUUGAAUCAUGCUCUAAUACACAAAAGUGUAUAUGGUAUCAGAGCCAGGUUGCUAAAAAGGGGAGAGUGUGAUUUCGUUUUUCAUAAAAAUCUGGGUGUUCUUGAGUGUUCUUGAGUGUUCUUGGUGUUCUUGAGUUAUGGUCUUUAUUAUCUGAGUGGUGUGAGAUAUUCUGAUGGAUUCAAAC